GCCCCAUCAUCCUCCCUCGCUGGAGCGCCACCGCACGCCACCAUCACCGCUGCCGAGGUGUUGCUACCGCCGCCGGCGCUUCUCCGGUCGCCCCCAACCCCAACCAAGCCCACCUACAGGUACGAUAGAUGAACCACGUGAAGGACGUGAUAUUGGAACCAAACACGAAGACGAUGUUUGAUGGACAUAUCCAGAAGAGGCAAAGAACCAGGAGUACAUGCUUGGACCGAAAUACUCGCCAAGCGAGUGUCAUCUAACAAACACUGACCUAGUGUUAAUCCUAGGCAAGCCCCGGUGCAUAACCUACUAUUUUAAAUUAUGAAUUAUUAUAUGUGUAUUACUUGUGCAUUAUGUUUUUAGGAGUUGUCUGGAACCUUAGUUGCAUGAUCCCUAGGUUUCCUUGGUCUUAUACUCGUAUGUAUAGGUCGAUAGCACUGCUAUGCUUAAAUAAGUCUCGGUAGAAGUCGAGUGAUUUCCUGUCACUCGCGAGCUAUAAGGCCAAAGUCGAGUAAUUUCCGGUUAUUCGCAAGAUUUAUAGUUAUCUUUAUAUUCCAGUAUAUGAGAUAUGAAAUACAAUAUGGAAUGAAUGGAAAUUUGAGACCGGACGG